CAAGUAUUUUUUGCCAAAACAUUUUAAUUUUUUUAAGUAUGACUUCCCACAAAAUAACUUAGUAUGUUAUUUGAUGCAAAUGUUCGUACAAUAUCUUGUUGGGUGAGGACUUCGUCAUAACAUUUUGACCAAAAACUUGAGGUAAAAUGGUAGAAUUUGAUACUGCUGAUAAUAUAAGGUUAUUACACCACACGUAACUUUAUUUAUAUUAUUUUGAAGACUCAAAAUUGUUUAAUAGUUUUGCAAUUUCAGGGCCCUCAAAUAUCUCUCAAC
rnacentral:lncRNA from 1 species